ACGCUGGCGGCGUGCCUAAUACAUGCAAGUCGAACGAUGAAGCUUCUAGCUUGCUAGAAUGCUGAUUAGUGGCGCACGGGUGAGUAACGCAUAGGUCAUGUGCCUCUUAGUUUGGGAUAGCCAUUGGAAACGAUGAUUAAUACCAGAUACUCCCUACGGGGGAAAGAUUUAUCGCUAAGAGAUCAGCCUAUGUCCUAUCAGCUUGUUGGUAAGGUAAUGGCUUACCAAGGCUAUGACGGGUAUCCGGCCUGAGAGGGUGAACGGACACACUGGAACUGAGACACGGUCCAGACUCCUACGGGAGGCAGCAGUAGGGAAUAUUGCUCAAUGGGGGAAACCCUGAAGCAGCAACGCCGCGUGGAGGAUGAAGGUUUUAGGAUUGUAAACUCCUUUUGUUAGAGAAGAUAAUGACGGUAUCUAACGAAUAAGCACCGGCUAACUCCGUGCCAGCAGCCGCGGUAAUACGGAGGGUGCAAGCGUUACUCGGAAUCACUGGGCGUAAAGAGCGCGUAGGCGGGAUAGUCAGUCAGGUGUGAAAUCCUAUGGCUUAACCAUAGAACUGCAUUUGAAACUACUAUUCUAGAGUGUGGGAGAGGUAGGUGGAAUUCUUGGUGUAGGGGUAAAAUCCGUAGAGAUCAAGAGGAAUACUCAUUGCGAAGGCGACCUGCUAGAACAUUACUGACGCUGAUUGCGCGAAAGCGUGGGGAGCAACCAGGAUUAGAUACCCUGGUAGUCCACGCCCUAAACGAUGGAUGCUAGUUGUUGGAGGGCUUAGUCUCUCCAGUAAUGCAGCUAACGCAUUAAGCAUCCCGCCUGGGGAGUACGGUCGCAAGAUUAAAACUCAAAGGAAUAGACGGGGACCCGCACAAGCGGUGGAGCAUGUGGUUUAAUUCGAGGCUACACGAAGAACCUUACCUAGGCUUGACAUUGAGAGAAUCCGCUAGAAAUAGUGGAGUGUCUGGCUUGCCAGACCUUGAAAACAGGUGCUGCACGGCUGUCGUCAGCUCGUGUCGUGAGAUGUUGGGUUAAGUCCCGCAACGAGCGCAACCCCCUUUCUUAGUUGCUAACAGGUUAUGCUGAGAACUCUAAGGAUACUGCCUCCGUAAGGAGGAGGAAGGUGGGGACGACGUCAAGUCAUCAUGGCCCUUACGCCUAGGGCUACACACGUGCUACAAUGGGGUGCACAAAGAGAAGCAAUACUGCGAAGUGGAGCCAAUCUUCAAAACACCUCUCAGUUCGGAUUGUAGGCUGCAACUCGCCUGCAUGAAGCUGGAAUCGCUAGUAAUCGCAAAUCAGCCAUGUUGCGGUGAAUACGUUCCCGGGUCUUGUACUCACCGCCCGUCACACCAUGGGAGUUGUGUUUGCCUUAAGUCAGGAUGCUAA
rnacentral:rRNA from 1 species